rnacentral:lncRNA from 1 species
AGCUCCAGAAACCUUAUAGUUCAUAUACUGAGAGAGGAAAUCAGCAAAUUUGUCACAAGAAUGUCCAACGGAUGCCACCAUCUCAGUGAUCCCAGUUCUGGAAUCUUUGCCUAGUGGGAUAUUGUGAUGCUGGAGAUACAAUUUGAGCUCGGUGGCGAUGUUGGGUCGGGAGAUAUCAAUUGUUCCUUCUCCAUCCUGGCUAGCUUCUUCUGGGAAGAAU